UAGGGAAUCUUCCGCAAUGGGCGAAAGCCUGACGGAGCAACGCCGCGUGAGUGAUGAAGGUCCUCGGAUCGUAAAACUCUGUUAUUAGGGAAGAACAAAUGUGUAAGUAACUAUGCACGUCUUGACGGUACCUAAUCAGAAAGCCACGGCUAACUACGUGCCAGCAGCCGCGGUAAUACGUAGGUGGCAAGCGUUAUCCGGAAUUAUUGGGCGUAAAGCGCGCGUAGGCGGUUUUUUAAGUCUGAUGUGAAAGCCCCCGGCUCAACCGGGGAGGGUCAUUGGAAACUGGUUGACUUGAGUGCAGAAGAGGGGAGUGGAAUUCCAUGUGUAGCGGUGAAAUGCGUAGAUAUAUGGAGGAACACCAGGGGCGAAGGCGACUCUCUGGUCUGUAACUGACGCUGAGGCUCGAAAGCGUGGGUAGCAAACAGG
rnacentral:rRNA from 1 species